AUUUAAUUAUUUUUUUAAUUAUGAUGUAAAAAUCUUAAAUAAUAAAUAAAAGUUGAUAGAGAUAAAUAUUUAAAGACGGCAUAGUUGGAGAGCCGGCAAUUGAGGGUGUACAAGUGAAGCAGCAUAUAGAGUUUUAAAAAUUAAGCUCAGCGACAACCUUGCUGUAAGAGUGUUAGUUAGAGAACUAUUUUGAGAGGUUAAACAUAUUGGAUGUGUUAGAUGUAAAGAUAUAUGAUGAGGAUAAAACUCUCACUCUCUUGUCG
rnacentral:misc_RNA from 1 species